rnacentral:lncRNA from 11 species
GAAUUAUUGACUUCCUAGCAUACCAUAUACUUCUGCUAGAUAAUCUUUUCUAGGCAUUUGCUAGGUACUCCAACAUAACCUUGUGUUAAUUUCCAGGAGAUGUAUAUCAAAGAAUCACCUGCAGGACCUAGCAAACUCCUCAAGGUGUGGAUCAGUGAAGCUGUGAAUAUGGGUUCCAGUUGCCUGAAACACAGAGGAGUCUGGAGCAUGCAUCCUUCAACUUUAAGAACUGAGAACAAUGUGGCUCGAGUGAAAACUGUUCUGAAAACUUCUCCACCCACAGUACAGCCCUGACUUGUCUCCAUGAGAUUUCUUUCCCCAAGAUCAAAACCCAUCUCAAAUACAUCAUUUUUGGGACAGUUGAAAAAGUCCUAGCAGCUCCAAUGAGGAUUUUGAACAACAUCUCCAGUAAAGACUUCAUUCACUGCUAUGAAGAAUUGCAGCAACAUUGAAAACACUGUAUUUGAUCACAAAGAGCUUAUUUUAAAGAUGAUAAACUAUAAUUGC